UACGAAGGGGGCUAGCGUUGCUCGGAAUCACUGGGCGUAAAGGGCGCGUAGGCGGAUCUUUAAGUCGGGGGUGAAAGCCUGAGGCUCAACCUCAGAAUUGCCUUCGAUACUGGAGAUCUUGAGACCGGAAGAGGUAAGUGGAACUGCGAGUGUAGAGGUGAAAUUCGUAGAUAUUCGGAGGAACACCAAUGGCGAAGGCAGCACUCUGGGACGGUACUGGACGCUGAGACGCGAAAAGCGUGGGGGAGCAAACAGG
rnacentral:rRNA from 1 species